rnacentral:lncRNA from 1 species
CUUGAAUUUAAAUGAUCAUAAUGUCAUUUAACUUUUUUUCAGCAUCUUCUUUGUUUCCCAGAUAUUUAUGCCGCACUGAACUUUUCUAAAGGAAUUUCUAUGCAAACAGUUCAGUCAUGUUGUGUUACAAACAAGCAAACAAUGCAAGUCCCCCUAAUACAGUGAGGACAUCCAACUUGCACAUUAUACUUUUUACUGGGAGAGUGAUGGGAACACCAACACCUGAAACAUUAAAUGAGACUGGAGAAUAAUCCCCAAUUGUCAGGGAGAUGGCCUUUUUUCUGCCUCUGACACUCCUGCCUGGUAGGGAUGCUGACUAAAAGUGGUACUAUGCUACCUGCAGGUGCAGAAAAGAAGAGGAAGAAAUUGUGAGUUGAUUUUAGUAUAAACAAAUGCCUUGCUGGUAAGAUUUGCUUUUUUUUUAGGUGGAAGUGGUAUUUGCUGUAGUUUCAGCUGAUCUGUAUACUGAACACCAUCACUAGUUUUUACUUGGGGGAGGAACACAUGAAUGUAGGCACAUUAUAGAAAGUGGUCAGA